GCACAUUUGUUUCUCGGAGUCUUUCGCCACUACGGGAAAAUACAUCUUUUUACGCAGCUCAAAGCCGAAUGCCAUGUAGACGCUUUUGCCUCGUGAACUGGGCACCUUGUACACAGUCACUGCACCAUGGAGAGAUGUCUUGUUAGGAAGUUCAGGUCAGAGCGGAGAAUUAACCAUUAUACAGCACUUCUGAAGCAGAUGUAGGGCCCAACACCAGAUGUAGGGCCCAACACCAGCAACUUGGUGGAGCUGGAGCUUAAACUGCUGACCUUCCAAUCAGACAGCUGAACUUGUCAGCAGGGAACGACGAAGUGACGGAGCCGUUAAAUCGAAGUGAAGCAACUAAUCCACAUCGCGAGACGAGAAUCAGGAAAACAAAGCGAGGUCCACAACGUGAAAACUAUGAAACAUAACGCGAGAAUAUUGAGGCGAGAAAAUACACAAUGAUUCAGCAAUGAGACGAGCGCUGCUCUUCCUUAUAAGUCAGAAGAAAUCAGGUGUUCAGCCGAGGCGGUCCGGGGGAGUGUAAGACAGGAGAUGACAGCGCGGGAAAAUAUGACCGCGUGCUGAGAAGCAUGACAGCGUGGGAAAGGAAAUGUCAAGGGAUGAAAGCAGACUUUGAACGUGGUGUGUGCGUGAGUUCGUGAUAACACUAAUGGUAUUAUAUUGUGUGCUUUAUUGCACUACAGGACAGGACACAACUACAGAAAAAAAAAACAACAACAACAACAAAAAAAAACGAAUAUACAACAAUUUGACAUAAGGAGGCAUCAAGAUAGAUCAUUUCAAGAGUUAACAUGAACUACAUUAACCUAACAAGGAAAAUGUAAAUGUACUGUAUGUAGAACAUAAAAAAACAUAAUGUUAGACAUUACCAUUUUUUUUACCUUUUUUUUUUACCAUUGUUUAUUACCAUUUAUUCUAACUUCAUUCCACACAAAAAUGACAUAAAUCUAUACCGACUUUGUACAGCUGUUCCUAUUGUUCUAUAUUUCUUCAUAUAUUCUUCAUAUAUUUUCUAUACUGUGCAUUUUUGUUGUACAGUUAUUUUAUUUUAACUUUAAUUUUAUAUUUUAUUUUAUUCUUUCCCAGUUAAAUUUACCUUUUAUUUUAUCCUUUAUAUUUAUUUCCUAUUCAUACUCUUUUAUUUUAAGGUCACGAGCAGUUGUCUAAGCAUUUCACUGCAUAUUGUACUGU